rnacentral:misc_RNA from 1 species
UUAAGUUCAGCGGGUAUCCCUACCUGAUCCGAGGUCAACCGUGAGAUUGUGGGGGGUUCUGGCAAGCACCCGCCGGACUCUAUAGCGAGAGAAUUACUACGCUUAGAGCCAGACGGCACCGCCACUGAUUUUAAGAGCCGCGAGACCGCGAACCCCAAUACCAAGCUAGGCUUGAGUGGUCAUAAUGACGCUCGAACAGG